UGGGGAAUAUUGCACAAUGGGCGCAAGCCUGAUGCAGCCAUGCCGCGUGUAUGAAGAAGGCCUUCGGGUUGUAAAGUACUUUCAGCGAGGAGGAAGGCGUUGUGGUUAAUAACCGCAGCGAUUGACGUUACUCGCAGAAGAAGCACCGGCUAACUCCGUGCCAGCAGCCGCGGUAAUACGGAGGGUGCAAGCGUUAACCGGAAUUACUGGGCGUAAAGCGCACGCAGGCGGUCUGUCAAGUCGGAUGUGAAAUCCCCGGGCUCAACCUGGGAACUGCAUCCGAAACUGGCAGGCUAGAGUCUUGUAGAGGGGGGUAGAAUUCCAGGUGUAGCGGUGAAAUGCGUAGAGAUCUGGAGGAAUACCGGUGGCGAAGGCGGCCCCCUGGACAAAGACUGACGCUCAGGUGCGAAAGCGUGGGGAGCAAACA
rnacentral:rRNA from 1 species